AGAGUUUCUCCUGGCUUAGGACGAACGCUGGCGGCGCGCCUAACACAUGCAAGUCGAACGAGAGAGAGGGAGCUUGCUCUCCUCAAUCGAGUGGCGAACGGGUGAGUAACGCGUGAGGAACCUGCCUCAAAGAGGGGGACAACAGUUGGAAACGACUGCUAAUACCGCAUAAGCCCACAGCUCGGCAUCGAGCAGAGGGAAAAGGAGCAAUCCGCUUUGAGAUGGCCUCGCGUCCGAUUAGCUGGUUGGUGAGGUAACGGCCCACCAAGGCGACGAUCGGUAGCCGGACUGAGAGGUUGAACGGCCACAUUGGGACUGAGACACGGCCCAGACUCCUACGGGAGGCAGCAGUGGGGAAUAUUGCACAAUGGGGGAAACCCUGAUGCAGCGACGCCGCGUGGAGGAAGAAGGUCUUCGGAUUGUAAACUCCUGUUGUUGAGGAAGAUAAUGACGGUACUCAACAAGGAAGUGACGGCUAACUACGUGCCAGCAGCCGCGGUAAAACGUAGGUCACAAGCGUUGUCCGGAAUUACUGGGUGUAAAGGGAGCGCAGGCGGGAAGACAAGUUGGAAGUGAAAUCUAUGGGCUCAACCCAUAAACUGCUUUCAAAACUGUUUUUCUUGAGUAGUGCAGAGGUAGGCGAAUUCCCGGUGUAGCGGUGGAAUGCGUAGAUAUCGGGAGGAACACCAGUGGCGAAGGCGCCUACUGGGCACCAACUGACGCUGAGGCUCGAAAGUGUGGGUAGCAAACAGGAUUAGAUACCCUGGUAGUCCACACCGUAAACGAUGAUUACUAGGUGUUGGAGGAUUGACCCCUUCAGUGCCGCAGUUAACACAAUAAGUAAUCCACCUGGGGAGUACGACCGCAAGGUUGAAACUCAAAGGAAUUGACGGGGGCCCGCACAAGCAGUGGAGUAUGUGGUUUAAUUCGACGCAACGCGAAGAACCUUACCAAGUCUUGACAUCCUGCGACGGACAUAGAAAUAUGUGUUUCCUUCGGGACGCAGAGACAGGUGGUGCAUGGUUGUCGUCAGCUCGUGUCGUGAGAUGUUGGGUUAAGUCCCGCAACGAGCGCAACCCUUACUGUCAGUUACUACGCAAGAGGACUCUGGCAGGACUGCCGUUGACAAAACGGAGGAAGGUGGGGAUGACGUCAAAUCAUCAUGCCCUUUAUGACUUGGGCUACACACGUACUACAAUGGCGUUAAACAAAGAGAAGCAAGACCGCGAGGUGGAGCAAAACUCAGAAACAACGUCCCAGUUCGGACUGCAGGCUGCAACUCGCCUGCACGAAGUCGGAAUUGCUAGUAAUCGUGGAUCAGCAUGCCACGGUGAAUACGUUCCCGGGCCUGUACACACCGCCCGUC
rnacentral:rRNA from 1 species